rnacentral:rRNA from 1 species
GACAGAGGGUGCAAACGUUGCUCGGAAUUACUGGGCGUAAAGCGCGUGUAGGCGAAUCGGAAAGUCGGGCGUGAAAUCCCCAGGCUCAACCUGGGAACUGCACCCGAAACUCCCGGUCUUGAGUGGUGGAGAGGGAAGUGGAAUUCCUGGUGUAGAGGUGAAAUUCGUAGAUAUCAGGAGGAACACCAGUGGCGAAGGCGGCUUCCUGGACACCAACUGACGCUGAGACGCGAAAGCGUGGGGAGCAAACAGG